CAGUAGCCGCGGGAAUAUGAAGGGUGCAAGCGUUACUCGGAAUUACUGGGCGUAAAGCGUGCGUAGGUGGUGGUUUAAGUCCGUUGUGAAAGCCCUGGGCUCAACCUGGGAAUUGCAGUGGAUACUGGGUCACUAGAGUGUGGUAGAGGAUAGUGGAAUUUCCGGUGUAGCAGUGAAAUGCGUAGAGAUCGGAAGGAACAUCUGUGGCGAAGGCGACUAUCUGGGCCAACACUGACACUGAGGCACGAAAGCGUGGGGAGCAGACAGGAUUAGAUACCCCCGUAGUCCCUGUCUCUUAUAA
rnacentral:rRNA from 1 species